UAGAUCUGGUACGAGAAACAAUCAUGUUCGAGUAUUAAAAGGUAUUUGAUAGCUUGGGCUGGAUUGGGCUUAGAAGGAACAACAGUUGCCUAAGCCUGGCAUUUCGGCCGGCCAGGCGGGCACUAAGACCCGUGAACGUGUGUAGUAGGUAGAUGUUUCCCUUGUAAGAAAACCAUGAAAAAACAAUGAAUAAUUGGCUCCUCAUUAUGGG
rnacentral:misc_RNA from 1 species